CAGCAAGCAGGCUAUGGAGAAUCCCCCAAUGAGAAAUUUUUCUCAUUAGCAAUUCUUUGAAACAAAACAAAAAAUUGUACUCAGCACAAAAGGGUACUGCACAGCGGGGCAGAGCUGAGAGCCCUGCGCACACUGACUUCCUUGGCACCCCAGGGGAAGGCAGAUCUGGUCCCAGGGGAUCUCCUUACUUGUUAGACAAAGUGGCAUAUUGUAUGCUCUGAGCCCAGGAUGGUGGAUUGAAGAACUCCCUGAGCUCGUGUCUCUACCUAUUCUUGGGACUAAGAAAACCCGUGUGAGUCAUAAAUGGCAACUUCCUUUUGGAAUCCUGAAACUAUGAAAAAACUGAGGUUGCUGAAUGAGUGACUUACCCAAGAUAUCUCACAGCUAACAAAGGAUGGAGGUGAGA